AACGAACGCUGGCGGCAUGCCUAACACAUGCAAGUCGAACGAGACCUUCGGGUCUAGUGGCGCACGGGUGCGUAACGCGUGGGAACCUGCCCUUAGGUUCGGAAUAACUCCCCGACAGGGGUGCUAAUACCGGAUCAUGUCUUCGGACCAAAGACUUAUCGCCUUUGGAUGUGCCCGCGUUGGAUUAGCUAGUUGGUAGGGUAAAAGCCUACCAAGGCGACAAUCCAUAGCUGGCCUGAGAGGAUGAUCAGCCACACUGGGACUGAGACACGGCCCAGACUCCUACGGUAGGCAGGAGUAGAGAAUAUUGGACAAUGGGCGGAAGCCUGAACCAGCAAUGCCGCGUAAGUGAUGAAGGCCUUAGGGUUGUAAAGCUCUUUUACCCAGGAUGAUAAUGACAGUACCGGGAGAAUAAGCUCCGGCUAACUCCGUG
rnacentral:rRNA from 1 species